AAGCCAGCCAGGCUGAGGACGAUGCUGCUGCCCUGGCUUCUGAUGCUGCUACUGCAAGAGAGCUGAGGAGCCGAGACACAGCGAAGAAGAUCCCACACACACAAACAGGCGUACAGAGCUCCUUCACACGGCCCUCCGCCAGGGUAAGACACUAGCAGGGGGACCCUUUUGCUGGCCUGGACCAUGAGCAAUGAGUCUGCCGUCUGGAACAUCCUACCAGAAAACUCCACAGGGAUCCCUCUAGGGCGACAGGGAGGCAGGAUGGCUACGUUCUGCUCCUGGUGAUCCUGUCCAUCUUUCUG
ensembl:lncRNA